UUCGGGAAUUCAACUGCUACAAUUUACAUAUUUGUUUGGAUUGAUGAAAUUGAAAUGACCGUUAAGUUCUCGAAGGAAAGCCAAGCUUUCUUCUGUAUUUUGUGUUAAUUUUCUCAUAAUAGUUAUUUAUUUACAGUUUUAUCACACAUCCUGGUGUUAUUGAGGAUAAGUAAGUGUACAAAAGUAAUUUAAGACCUCAGUAAUCAAAUUUUUUGGAUACGUAACCUAAAAUUACGCGAAAAAUGUAAGCUAGAAACUGGAUUUUACCCAAUAGGCUAUCAGCCCAAAAUGUAAUACUAAAAUAAACUUUAUGGGCAGUUCAAGAAACGGGAUUUGUAUAUCUUCAUAGAAGUUAAUAAAAAUCUGUUUAUUUCAUUUAAGUGGGAACGGUGAUCCAUAGACAAUGUCGUCCGACAUAGACAUAGAGGAGCACGAUGUGCUGGACAACCCUCGCAUCAGGGGCAUGUUCCCCGACAUCACUAUUGUUAAGACUGAGGUUGAGGACUACGAGGAAGGAAGUAUGGAUACACCAUACAUUGAACAAGAUUACCAUACUCACCACCAUCAUGCUCCCAUUGUUAUUAAGGAGGAGAAUAAUUUAAAAUCUUUCAACAACAAAAUCAUUAUCGGCUCUAAACCUUGUAUGACUACACUAGAAACCCAGAAGACGGUAAACCAAGGUACAAGUUUCCAGGGGACAGAAAUACAAGGGACAAGUUUGCAGAGAUCAGAGUUGCAAGGGAUAAGUUUACAGGGCACAGAAGCACAAGGGCCAGGUUUCCAGGGGACAGAAGUACAAGGUACAAGUUUCCAGGGGACAGAAUUACAAGAUUCGAGUUUUGAAGAACAAGUUCUCCAAGAAGCAAGAGAACAUACGGUUAAGGAGACAGUUACUUCAAAGACAGAUUUUCUGUUACAAGAGAGGAAAUUCCAAAACAAAAUAAUACUAGGUACCAAAAUCCAAUCAUCGUGUAAUUCAGAAGAAAGUCCUUCAGGGGACGAGGAAUCUGACCUUCCAGAUGCUUAUGUAUUACUAGAAGACUGUAAGAAUUCACUGUAUAACAACCCUCGUUUUUGUAAGGAAUGCCAAACCCUUUUCGCCACACGCAACGAUAUGGAUGCCCACAAAAUGAUUUCACAUUCAUUUUUAGUAGCAGUCAAUAAAAAUAAAGCUGUCAAAAGCACUAGCAAAGGCAAUGCUAUUGAUGCCGACUGUAAAACUUUACUAUGCAAUCAUUGUAACGUAGUAUUUCCGAAUACUAUAGCUCUUUUGAGGCACACAUAUGAGUUGCUACCGGGUAAUUUCGCUUGCGAUAAAUGCGAUUUAGUUUUUGAAAAUGACGCAGCGUGCAAAGCGCAUAUGGCUAAACAUAAUGAGACGAAUUUGACAGGUCCAGCAGGUACGUAUGCUAUCUGUAAAAUUUGCAGCUGUCAUUUCAGAUGGUCGGCCAAAUUGAGGACGCAUAUGCUAUCGUUUCAUCGUACGAAAGAGAUGGGUGAUGUCAAACAUGUUCCGUCAGAUUUAAAAUGUCAUUUUUGCAGUUCCAAAAUGAAUAGUACUCAGAAUUAUAACAAGCAUAUAUUGAAGUAUCAUACCAAGCUGUACCACGGAAGCUACGCGGAUUUCGAGAAGAUUUCUAAAUUUCAGUGCCCCCGAUGCAGCUUAUGCUUCUCCUCAGACUAUUCGGUUAGGAUACAUUUAGCAGCCAAACACGGGUACUUAGGUAGCGUCGAAGACUCCAAAAAGCUGGCCAAUUUCCGUAAAACACCGAAAGAAUCGAAAAAAAUAGCAAACCUUUCGCAACUACCCGCAAAAUCACAGAAAAACAUCACAAGGACCCGUCCGUUAACAAAAUCCACUUUAUUCAAAUGUAAUAAGUGUCAUAUACAUUUUGUUUCGUGCAUUAGCGCCGUGUUACAUUCGAGGUCAUGUGUUCCGACUUCAAAAAAAGACAACUACAGAUGCCAUCAAUGUAGGCGAACUUUCAAACUACAAGAUAAAUUUUAUCACGACUACCAACACAGUGUUUCGGAUAGAUUCAAAGUUAUCGAAAUCUCUCGGAACAUACUUAACAGGAUCAUAUGUAAAUGCACAUCAUGCGAAAUCUGCUUUGACGAAAAAAGCUUCAUGACAUUUCAUACAGAUUCAUGCAAUAAAGAUUCUCCUUCCAUGCAAUGCAAAGAAUGCAAUGUAUGGAUACACGCUCGAGCGAUGCCAUUGCAUAAAAAGAUACAUGCAAGUGGUCUCACAUCCAGAGAUUUUAUAUUUACCGAGUACCAUCACGUUAGUAUGGCUAUUAAAGAACAAGAAAAGGUUAAUUUAAUAAACAAACAUGAAAGGAAAGUUACUAAAAUAGUCAAAAUUAAGAAAUUUAUAGGCUCAAUCAAAACCGAUAAAAAGUCAUUAUAUUACUGUCCGACUUGUAAAUGUUGCAUGAGGGCGAACGUUAAGACUCACAAGCAUUACAUUGGUCAAUGUAAUACUGACGAAAGUCAAUUCUUAACUUGCAAAUCUUGCGGUUUGACAUUUACCCAAAAAGGUUUCGUAACCCACAGGAAUAUACAUAAAAUGUUCCCAAGACUAAAACUGAACGAUUUAAAAUUCAUUGACAUACAAAAUGGCAAUGAAAUCGCUCCACCCUUUCCGAAUUUUAAGAAGUGUAAAAAAUGUAAAGUCACCUUCUUCAGCGCGGGUGCUUUGAAUAACCACGCGUGCAAUUCGGAAGAAUCAAAGAUUUGCAAGUAUUGCCACGAAAAAUUCAGCGAUCUGGCUUACAAAUUACAUCUACCUUUUCACGAAUACGCAAAAACAGUCGAAACACAUGAAGAUCAAGAAGUAAAUGAUAUGUCUGAAAUGAAUGAAAAUAUUCCUGAAUUAAUGAAAAAGUAUAAAUCUAUCAAACAAGUAUGGAAUAUACUAUACCUUUGUCAAUCUUGCGACAUAGUGAUUGAUUCUUACGACAAAGUAGUCGAGCACUGCCAAGACCAUUUCUGUAACAUGCAAAGUUACAAUGUCACUAUAACGCAUUGUGAUGUUUGUGAUUUGAACUUCGUAGAUGCAUGUUUCAAGAGACAUGAAAAACUACAUCUAAAUUAUGAUAUGGAUAAGGAUUCCUUUAUCAUACUUGCAUAUAAAUACGAAAAUUUACCAUCAGACUCUUGGAUGGAUAUGUUCAAGGGUCUAACGAAAGAGCAAAUUCAGUUGAUACUAUCAAAAAGUAUGUAUAAGUUUGCUAGAUGUGUCAGAAUGAAGGUAGUUUCAAAAGGGUCGUUGGAAUUGACUUUGUAUCAAUGCGGCAAAUGUAAAUUGAUAGUGGCCCCGAAUAUAGUGAUGGAACAUUCGCAAAACGUUAACGAUAGCUGUGUAAGAAAUAGAAAAAAGUAUAGUUGCUCCAUUUGUUCAUUGAAAUUCGCAUAUAGAUCCCAUAAAAUCCUCCAUGAGAACUUGCACGAAACCCGCAAACUGGAUGUUAAAUCCUUUAGGAUAGUACAGUUUCAUGCGGAUAAGCAAUUUAGGGUGACUGAGGUCAAGAAUGUGGUCGAUGAGAUAACAAAUCAUGGGAAGAGAAAAGAACCCGAUGGACUGAAGUUCAUUAGAUGCCAGCACUGUGGCAAACUGAUAAAUAAACAUAAAUACAGAAGACAUAUACAAUACCACGAGCACUAUAACCUAAGCAAAAGUAAUGUGAAAUCGAUUAAAGAAGACGCGCAACAAAUCAAACAAACAACUAACAAAAUACUCAAUUUCUAUGUAUGCAGAGAUUGUAAACUUUGUGUUGCUAAACCAAGUAUUAAAUUGCAUAUAUGUGAAGAUAGUGGCAGUAAAAGGAAAUGUGUCAAAUGCUCGCUGUUGUUCAGAAGCCAAUGCUUAGCGUCUCAUUAUAAGUCUCAUGAGAAAAAGAAAUUUAAUAGAAGCCACAUGCGAGUAAUGUAUUUCGAUGGCGAAGUUAUAGAUAAAAAGCCUAUCAAAAGAGCUUUCUUCGAAACUAGGAAUCUUAAUAAGAAAAUGGCAACUUUGUAUCAAUGUUCACAAUGCACUUUAUGCAUUUGGAAUAGAAGCAACUUGGGAAAACACGUUUGCUCAUCGGAUUCGCAUAAGUUCACUUGUAAAUUAUGCGGUCUCGCUUUCCUCACAUCGAAGCGAAAAGUGCAUGAAAAAAUUCACGAGCACAUGAGUUUUAACAGCAAUGAUAUUAAAGUAAUCAAAUUUAAUAAAAACCCAGGGAAAUACCACACAAUGCCUCCUUCACGCAAACGUGAGGUCCCAACAAAUGACGAAACGGAUGAACUUGAAGUUGAAAAACGUAAUAUUGAUUCAACAAGCAAACGCAAAGUUAUAACAAGUUACGAAGGAACAGUUGCUAAAAGACCAAGAGUCGAUUACGUUAAAACGAUCAAUGAUUUUGUUCCCAUUGCUAAUCGAUAUUUUAAGUGCAAAACUUGUAAAUUACUUUUUGUGACUGCGACUGGGUUGAUAGAGCAUGAAAAAUCAUGUGACACAGAUAGGAAUGCGGUCAAAUGUGUGGACUGUGGCUUAGUUUUUCACGCAUCUAUGAUAAAUGACCAUAAGGCAUUACUAGAUUGCAAACGCUAUAUCAAGGAUAAGGUUUACAUCCUUACAAUAAAACAAAUAGGAAAUGACUAUAAUAGUGCAGAGAACUGGAUUAUUCAAUGCUUCAAUUGCGAUACAUAUAACAUUUCCAUAGACGGCUUCCAAUAUCACUUGAAAGGCAAUCAUCAACCCAAAUAUACAAUUAAAACUUGUGAGAAAUGCAAUAUCAAAUUCUUUUCGACUAGUUACAAAUUCCAUUUGAGAGUUCAUCAUGGGGAAGAUGAAACGGAUAUUUCUGAGUUGAGUAUUGCAUCUAUCGAAGAUACUACUUUGGUUGAAGCUCUUCAGGAUUUGCCGGAUGACGAAGAUGUUGUGUACGUCGAUCAUCCACCGAAACGAAAGCUAACAAACAGACAGACAGUAAACAGAAAAACUUCCUCAGGUAUAUAUACUUGUGAUGUUUGUGGACUCAGUUUCGUAAAUCCCCGAAGUCUUGAGAAGCAUAAAUAUAACGGAAAACAUACGGAAAGAAAAGUUAAUUGCAAUUUAUGCAGUUUGAUUUUUACUUCCAGAUCUCUAAGAAAGCAUAUGGGACUUCAUCAUAAGGAUCAUAAAAAAAGCGAUGGUGUAAAUACUAGUGUAGAUGAAAGCAAUUCUAGUAUUAUAGAUGAUAACCAGUCUGAUACUUCAAUAGUUCAGGAUGACGAAACAGAUAUGGACGAAUUAAGUAUGGAUGACAACAAUGAUGUUGAUCCUUUACUUAUUUCAAAUCAUAAUGAUAGAUCUUCUAGUGAAAAUUCGACUAAAGAUGUAACAAAUUCUAGUAGAAAUGCAGAAUCGAGUGGUAUGGCAGGUAUAUAUAAAUGCGAUGUGUGUGAUAUGAAUUUCCUAACUGAGCAUAGCGUAGUAAGACACCAAAGGGUGGGCAAGCAUAACGAAGCAAGACAUGAAUGCAAAGAAUGUGGCCUAAUUUUCUCGUUCAUAUCAGUUAAAAAACAUAUGCACAUCCAUCAUAGUAACGAUGUGAAAAAGAAAAUUCCUUAUACUAAAAAAACUGAUAAAACUGACGCGGACGACAGUAUCGUUGAAAGCAUUUCUAAAAUGUUUGUUAUUAACCCACCUCAUACCUCUUCAAUUCAAGAUAAUACUACGGAUACUAAAAAUUUAACAACAAUUAAUAAUGAAAAUAAUAGUAAUGAAAAUAUAACUAAAAACAUUAAUAAUUCAAGACCAAUUGAAGAAGAUAAUAUUAUGAAUAAAGUUGGGCCGUCAAGAAAUGUCGAAAAUAAUUCUAAUAAUAUGAACGAAGUACUAAAUAAAAAUAAACUAUUUAAAUGUAGUAUAUGUAACGUAUACUUCCUAACAUCUGACGAUUGUGUUGAACAUAUAACGAAUCAUAUACAGUUAGACACAUUCGAAUAUAUAGCCUGUAAAAUUUGCGACCUGCAAUUUUGCUGUGAAUUUUUAGGUAGACAUAUGAAAAGCCAUAGAGAAAAGACUUUUUCUACUGAAGAUUUGAUAGUAGCGGAAUACCAUCCUAGUAAUAGUGGAGAAGUCAAAAUAGAUACUUAUUUAUUCGUAGAUAGGAUAAAAACUAAGUUAGUGUCUACUACUAUUGAUGAUACUGAAGUUGUAGAUUCUACUACUGAAAAUUUGGUAGAUUCUCAGAGUUCUGCGUCGAUUGACGAUGCUUCGGAGUCUUCGUUGUGUGUUGAAGCGGUUACGGGUAGCGAAGCGUGAGUCCUUAAGGUCUAGGUUUUUGGAUUUUCGAAAUGCAAUUUCAUAGCCACCAAAUAGUCGUUUGCAUUGCAGUAUUAAAUUUCGCUCAGCAGGAUUUUUUAUUCGGUUUUUACACCCUAAUAGCUCGUUCACACAGGCUGCGUAAGCGUAGACGUAGCGCGUACCAUUGCGUUGUAAUGUAUGGAACUGUAUGAAACAUGGCACACCGCUUGCGUAAAGCGUGGACGUAUGCGUAACCCGGUGUGUUAGGGGUUUACGCACGUGUCACGUGUACGUGCUUGGUGUGAAUCGGCCUUAAAACAGCCACCUUUUAUUUUUUAGUUCCGUGUCCGUCUAUUCACCUUAUAAAUGGAAUUUGUAUAGUAUUUUUUAGUUUAGGGUGAACAGACAGACACACGAUUCCCAGUAUACACCCUUAGGGUGACUGUUUUAGGGUGAAUAAACGGAAUAAGUCGAAUUUUGCUACUAUUUCUGCAACUUCUUCAUGCAAUUAUGUAGGCGUCUGUUUAUAGUAUAGUCCAUUUACAUAGUAUUUUAAAAAACUGUCAAGUGUGUGUACUUUUAAUUUUUUUUUUACAUUUCGGCCAUUUUGUUUUUUUUUUUUUUUAAUUUGUUUUAGAGGCAAUAGAGAUACACACAGUGAAAAUUUCAACUAUACCUAUUACGGUUUAUGAGAUACAGUCCGCUGACAGACAGACUGACGGACGGACAGCGAAAGCUUUGUAAUAGGGCCUUGUUGCCACGUUGGAACCAUAAAAAUUAAAUAGCAGCAAUAUAGUAAGAAAAUUCAAAUGCUUUCUUUUAUUGCGCGUCUCUCCUUUUCACAGUUUACACAUACAAUUUUAUAGCCAGCAAAUUGCCCUCUUUCGCACACAAUCUGGUACUUUUAACUAUAGUUUCUUGGUGAUUUUAAUUGCUAUGGUAUAGCUGGCAAGCUGCUGUCUAUAUCUUGCAUUUUGUUCCAUCUUAGACUUCAUCAUCAUCUUUUACCAAGAUUUUGCAUAGGAGCAAGAGUUAUUUUGCGGAACUCCAUGAUAUUAUACAAGAAAUUAUAAGCUUAAUUUGCUAGAUACCGCCAAAGCCCCAUCAUCUUUUACCAAGAUUUUGCAUAGGAGCAAGAGUUAUUUUGCGGAACUCCAUGAUAUUAUACAAGAAAUUAUAAGCUUAAUUUGCUAGAUACCGCCAAAGCCCCAUCAUCUUUUACCAAGAUUUUGCAUAGGAGCAAGAGUUAUUUUGCGGAACUCCAUGAUAUUAUACAAGAAAUUAUAAGCUUAAUUUGCUAGAUACCGCCAAAGCCCAGCUCUUGCGCAGAAAUUCUAUUUUUGAAAGGCGCGAAAAAUUUUCAGCCAAUCAUAGAGCGAGUCCGUCUGCUAUUGGUUGUCGCCUACGCGCCAUGUUUUGUACGCCCGGAACAUGAGCGAGAUAGCACGAGUCUCUGUUCUUGUGUUUAAAACCCCUCUUAAGGUCAAGCAAUAAGGUCUGUAUUUCAUUGGUGUACAUUCAGGUUUAGUUGGCGUUAGGUUGCGGUUUUCUGCGCAAACGAAUUUUGCUGAUGCGACUUA